AGGACAACAGGAAGACUUCCAUCACUGUCUGUAUUCUAAGCAGAAGGCUCCCCACAAGAGCAGACCUCCUCCCAGCCUGGAAGGGACUCAGCUCUAGGAUUCUAGACUGUCUCCACAUCUCAACAACGUGCCUGAGAGGACAGCAGGCAGAAGCCUACAGAGUUUGGCAGGUCCCUGUGUCACUCAGCACCAGCUAUGAGGAGCAACGCCAGACACUCGCUGAUGGAAGCAAGAAGAAAUCUAUUUGGCUGA